rnacentral:pre_miRNA from 1 species
UCUCCCAACCCUGUACCAGUGUGUGAUUGACAGCAGACACCCUGGGCGGGGGCUGGGGAGG